CCCUCCUCCCCGAAAAGAGUAAUUGUUCCUACGUACUAUACUGCACCUACGUACAAUAAUUAGCGGUCCAUAAUAUCCGUAUUCCGAGCUCAUCAAUCCCCAGCGAAUUUGCGGGUGCGUAUAGUGUUUAGGUUUAUAUAGCUCUAUGAGAGAUACGGAUCCGCGCACUAACAAUAUACGGUACGUCAUAAUAAAGACACCGCUGGAUCCGAGCGCUUGUAAGUACGUCUAAUGGUAAAGUGCAGAAUUGACACUAGAGGCUUGACCAAGGUAAGUCCAACAAUUUAGUUAUAUAAUCUAUCAACAUGUUAAUUUAAUGUACCAGAAAGAUGUAACAGGUAAUAAUAAUAAUAUUGACUGGCGUUACUUUCGGGAGAUACCAAAAAUAUUUCCCUCACUAGACCCAUAUUGCCCUCGUCUCCGACUCGGGGCAAUAUGAGACUAGUUUGGGAAAUAUAUUUGGUAUCUCCCUCAAGGCCAGUCAAUAUUAUAUAAAUAUACAUCAUAUUU